rnacentral:rRNA from 1 species
CGUAGGGUGCAGGCGUUAAUCGGAAUUACUGGGCGUAAAGCGUGCGCAGGCGGCUCCUUAAGUCAGAUGUGAAAUCCCCGGGCUUAACCUGGGAACUGCGUUUGAUACUGAGGGGCUAGAGUGUGGAAGAGGGGGUGGAAUUCCAGGUGUAGCAGUGAAAUGCGUAGAGAUCUGGAGGAACACCGAUGGCGAAGGCAGCCCCCUGGGCUAACACUGACGCUCAUGCACGAAAGCGUGGGGAGCAAACAGGAUUAGAUACCCUGGUAGUCCACGCCCUAAACGAUGUCAACUGGUUGUCGGGGAAGUAAUUCCUUGGUAACGAAGCUAACGCGUGAAGUUGACCGCCUGGGGAGUACGGCCGCAAGGCUA